GCUGUGAGCUGUGGUGUAGGUCACAGACACAGACUGGAUCUGGCGUUGCUGUGGCUGUGGCCUAGGCCCAUGGCUACAGCUCUGAUUCUACACCUAGGCUGGGAAACUCCAUAUGCCAUGAGUGUGGCCCUAAAAAGACAAAAUAAAUAAAUAAAUAAAUAAAUCUUAGUCAAUAAACUACCAGUUGUUUUUAUGUCUUUCCUUUGAAAUAUCAAAUGCUAUUAAAAUCAAGAUUAGAGACACUUAGAGUGUCUCAGUGUUUUCUGGGAACACCCGCAUCAGAAUCAGCUGGUGUGUUAAAAAUACAGAUCCCUGGGCCACCUCUCCAGUCCGACUAAAUCAGACUCUCUGCACCUUUAGCAAAUGUGUCAUACAGUUUUGUCAGACAUCAAUGUCUGAAAACCAAGUUUUCAAGAUGUGGGGUUUCUCUCAGGUCUUUGAGAAAAAUAAAGGAUAAAGAUGUCAGUUACCCAGCAGCAGGAGGAAGCAAGCAGCGAGCACGUGGAACGAGCCACAGGACAAUUGACCUGGUUCCUUCCGAAAGUCAAAGGCAUGUCCACCAGCUGAUAAACAGGGCGCAGCCGCGGCUACUUUGUAGCGGUUCGGGCCCGGCCCAGCCCGCGGCAGUGAAACCCGAUCUCGGACCGACCAUGAGCCUAAAGAGCCUGUGUCCGUUGUCCCCGGGUACAGAGGCCUGAGUUCUAAGCGCAGGUAUGUUCCCGUCCAUUGAGAGAAGUGAAAUGACCCGGGUCCGAGCACGUGGCCAAUGGCGACCGGAGGGUUCCCAGGCACGUGUUUGGUGCAAAGGCCAGAAUCCGGCUCUCCCUUAAUAUAAACAGGCUGGCCCCACCCGGAAGAACAGCUGCUUCUAGUAGGUUUUGGAAAGCAGUUAAACUGCUGAGGUCCACGAAUAUUGAGAGACAAGUGCAGGAAAUCUUAGCCCCCCAAAAUGCGCAAAUCACCCUUUCCUGUGCCCUUUUAAGGCUGACGUAGUGCCUUAAGAGGCUAACACAGAAGGGUAAAGUAAGUCUCCAUAAAACCCAAAGAAGAGAUGGUAAAACUCGUCUUUGGAGCCUGUCUGGAGUCACAGCUAAGCCAGAUUUGAGUUUGAGCACUUUUGUAAUAUAGAUAAUAGCAGAGUGAUAAAUUUAAAUUUUACCUUAGGUUUGAUGAAACUUUCAGGCCUGCGUUUUAGAUAGACCCUGCUGGGGAUACCAUCUGAUGUUUUCAGAUAGUUAAGGGAAUUUGGAUACUUUGGUCAUCUUUGAAUUCCGGCGCGGGAGCGGGGGAAAGAAAUUGUAGGUGAUGAAACGUAUACAAAAAGCUUUUUCUGGAUAUCCUUUGCCCAAACUGAAAAGAAUAUGUAUCUCAACAUCCUUUUUUUUUUUUUUUUUGCUAUUUGUUCAAAAGGUAAUUUUCAAACUUUUCUUUUUUUCAGGUUGAAAAGUACAGGUAGAAGCCACUGAAGCUGUAAAGCUCUGAUGCUGGUAUUUUAACUGACUUACACCAACUAUCACUCUGCAGUUUACAAUACACAAGAACCUUUAAUGAGGUCACAGUUCUCACGUAACUUGUAGCAACCUGGUGUCUGUGCAGUGGCUUAGAAGUUAGAGCAGUGGGAUCCUGCUGGUGGUUUAAUUCUCACAAGUCUGUGAAGAGGGUACUGUUUCUCUUUUUGCAUUUGAGGCAGUCACUUAA
rnacentral:lncRNA from 1 species